rnacentral:tRNA from 1 species
GAGUAUGCAGCUUUGUGGCCUUAGCUUUGCAAAAGCUAUUGAGAAAUAUUUAUUUUCCGUACUU